AGCGAACGCUGGCGGCAGGCUUAACACAUGCAAGUCGAGCGGGCCUUUCGGGGUCAGCGGCGGACGGGUGAGUAACGCGUGGGAACGUGCCCUCUGGUUCGGAAUAACUCAGGGAAACUUGAGCUAAUGCCGGAUACGCCCUUUUGGGGAAAGGCUUGCUGCCGGAGGAUCGGCCCGCGUCUGAUUAGCUAGUUGGUGAGGUAACGGCUCACCAAGGCGACGAUCAGUAGCUGGUCUGAGAGGAUGAUCAGCCACACUGGGACUGAGACACGGCCCAGACUCCUACGGGAGGCAGCAGUGGGGAAUAUUGGACAAUGGGCGCAAGCCUGAUCCAGCCAUGCCGCGUGAGUGAUGAAGGCCUUAGGGUUGUAAAGCUCUUUUAUCCGGGACGAUAAUGACGGUACCGGAGGAAUAAGCCCCGGCUAACUUCGUG
rnacentral:rRNA from 1 species